AAAAAGGGCUUCUGCCGUGAGUGGCACGUGGAGAGGAGGGCUGCGGCCAAUCUUUCCGUGCGGAAUCGCUAUCAAGAGAUUUCGGAAGCAUAAUUUUUGGAAACGGGGUAGCUGGUAAUCGCUUGUUCGGGCUCCCCU